rnacentral:rRNA from 1 species
CUACGGGUUGCUCCAGUGGGGAAUAUUGGGCAAUGGGCGCAAGCCUGACCCAGCAACGCCGCGUGAGGGAAGAAGGUUUUCGGAUUGUAAACCUCUGUCCUUGGGGACGAAGAAGUGACGGUACCCAAGGAGGAAGCUCCGGCUAACUACGUGCCAGCAGCCGCGGUAAUACGUAGGGAGCAAGCGUUGUCCGGAGUUACUGGGCGUAAAGGGUGCGUAGGCGGCAUAUUAAGUCAGGUGUGAAAUACUCGGGCUAAACCCGGGGGCUGCAUUUGAAACUGAUAUGCUUGAGUGUGAGAGAGGAAAGUGGAAUUCCUAGUGUAGCGGUGGAAUGCGUAGAUAUUAGGAGGAACACCAGUGGCGAAGGCGACUUUCUGGCUCAUAACUGACGCUGAGGCACGAAAGCGUGGGGAGCAAACAGGAUUAGAUACCCGGGUAGUC